rnacentral:rRNA from 1 species
GACGAACGCUGGCGGCGUGCCUAAUACAUGCAAGUCGAGCGAGCAGAACCAGCAGAUUUACUUCGGUAAUGACGCUGGGGACGCGAGCGGCGGAUGGGUGAGUAACACGUGGGGAACCUGCCCCAUAGUCUGGGAUACCACUUGGAAACAGGUGCUAAUACCGGAUAAGAAAGCAGAUCGCAUGAUCAGCUUAUAAAAGGCGGCGUAAGCUGUCGCUAUGGGAUGGCCCCGCGGUGCAUUAGCUAGUUGGUAAGGUAACGGCUUACCAAGGCGAUGAUGCAUAGCCGAGUUGAGAGACUGAUCGGCCACAUUGGGACUGAGACACGGCCCAAACUCCUACGGGAGGCAGCAGUAGGGAAUCUUCCACAAUGGACGCAAGUCUGAUGGAGCAACGCCGCGUGAGUGAAGAAGGUUUUCGGAUCGUAAAGCUCUGUUGUUGGUGAAGAAGGAUAGAGGUAGUAACUGGCCUUUAUUUGACGGUAAUCAACCAGAAAGUCACGGCUAACUACGUGCCAGCAGCCGCGGUAAUACGUAGGUGGCAAGCGUUGUCCGGAUUUAUUGGGCGUAAAGCGAGCGCAGGCGGAAGAAUAAGUCUGAUGUGAAAGCCCUCGGCUUAACCGAGGAACUGCAUCGGAAACUGUUUUUCUUGAGUGCAGAAGAGGAGAGUGGAACUCCAUGUGUAGCGGUGGAAUGCGUAGAUAUAUGGAAGAACACCAGUGGCGAAGGCGGCUCUCUGGUCUGCAACUGACGCUGAGGCUCGAAAGCAUGGGUAGCGAACAGGAUUAGAUACCCUGGUAGUCCAUGCCGUAAACGAUGAGUGCUAAGUGUUGGGAGGUUUCCGCCUCUCAGUGCUGCAGCUAACGCAUUAAGCACUCCGCCUGGGGAGUACGACCGCAAGGUUGAAACUCAAAGGAAUUGACGGGGGCCCGCACAAGCGGUGGAGCAUGUGGUUUAAUUCGAAGCAACGCGAAGAACCUUACCAGGUCUUGACAUCUAGUGCCAUCCUAAGAGAUUAGGAGUUCCCUUCGGGGACGCUAAGACAGGUGGUGCAUGGCUGUCGUCAGCUCGUGUCGUGAGAUGUUGGGUUAAGUCCCGCAACGAGCGCAACCCUUGUUAUUAGUUGCCAGCAUUAAGUUGGGCACUCUAAUGAGACUGCCGGUGACAAACCGGAGGAAGGUGGGGAUGACGUCAAGUCAUCAUGCCCCUUAUGACCUGGGCUACACACGUGCUACAAUGGGCAGUACAACGAGAAGCGAGCCUGCGAAGGCAAGCGAAUCUCUGAAAGCUGUUCUCAGUUCGGACUGCAGUCUGCAACUCGACUGCACGAAGCUGGAAUCGCUAGUAAUCGCGGAUCAGCACGCCGCGGUGAAUACGUUCCCGGGCCUUGUACACACCGCCCGUCACACCAUGGAAGUCUGCAAUGCCCAAAGCCGGUGGCCUAACCUUCGGGAAGGAGCCGUCUAAGGCAGGGCAGAUGACUGGGGUG